GGCUCACAUGAUGACAAUGUUUGCAACAUGUCAUGUGGGGCUUGUGUAACCCUGUAAAGAUUCAAGGCCAUAGCAGGCUGACUCCUCUCCUGUUUAUUUUCUUGGAAGAUAUGACAGCCAAGAUUCAAAUGGAUGAUGCCUUGGCUGACAUUGAUUUAUCCACCCUUGUGCAAUAGUUCUAAUUGCAAGAGAGCAGCUCAAGUUCCCUCUGACAUGAUUUGCAAUUUUCUGUAGGAAGGAACAGAGUACCCAUAAGUUAUCUGGCAGGUGUUCUUUCUUUUCCAAAUCCAUAUGAUGCAUGGUGGUGAGUUGCCCCAUGAAAGAUCAAAUGUUGAGAGCAGGCAAAUUAAAAGGACACUGUAGAUGUUUGAGGUGGAAAUAGGUUUUUUCUUCUCUGCUCUUCAUAUCUUCUGCCAACAAGAUCUGUCAUAGAUUUGGUAGGGAGGACAGUGAAAUAUGAAGAGCAACUACCAACUACUGAUCAAGGACACUGCAGGCAAAGAUCUGGUAGGGAAGACAGUGAAAUCUGAUGCCACAUCUGGCUUCUUGUGUGUCAAUUAUGAGUGGAGCCCAAGGCAACUACCAAUUACUGAUCAAUGGAUGUCAGCUGGUGGCUGAGACUGUAAGUCUCUUUCCAUUCAGCAUUCCACAGACUGUCCUUUUCCAUGUUUAAAGUAAAUUUCUUUCCUUUUCUUCCUUGCAUGGUGUACUGAGAUGAUGAAUGCACCAUUCAUCUGUGCAUGAAUCCAAACCAAGUUCAGAAAGAUGACUUCUUCUUGUGCAUAUGAACAAGAGCCAGACACAGAGCUGGGGACCAAUUGCAGCCCACUCAACAUUUGUCCUAGAUCUUUGGGUCAGGUUUGACAAACUUGAUCAACUACUGAAUGCACUUGAAAGGAGUUCCUUUUCGAAGGGGUAAGCAAGAAGAUGGAACAGAAGUGUUCCAGCCUCUUGGUCCAUAUACAGCAGCAGUGAUGAAGAAGCAGAGCUGCACCAACGCGGAAAGAGAGGAAAGAUCGAAGCUUGAAGAUAACGAGCAGAAGAAUCCAUCCGACGCCUCUAAUCUGCCCCCACGAAUUUGCCUCAUCUGCGGGGAAAGAUGCCAUCUUGCAAUCAAAAUCAGAUCAAACAGAUCAGGCAAAGGGAGGAGAAGCGCAGGGAUAUGCACGUCGUUAGGAGGGCGACCGUCCACCGGACUCCGGUGAACUCGAGGGAGCUGUAGCGCGAGGGAAAGAGGCCAAUGGGUUACGGGUUUUGUCACGAGACCAGAAUUAUAACCACUAGUUGUUGAACCGGGCAGCCCGAACCGACCUACCAAGGCGACGAACCCGGUUCGACCCGAACAGUUUAAGGAAUUCGAUAAAACCCUCGAAUCACUAAAACAAAACCUCACCGUCAGAUUCCAAGACAGCCCUCCGCAUCCACCCAAAACACCCCAUUGCCUGAGGUCCUCUUCUUCGUUCCAACGAAGAUGCGUCUUGAGAUCUUAGCUCCACUUCAGUUGGAGCAUUUCGAUCUAAGAGCCAAAGUGCAAAAAAUCUUGAUUCUUAAGUGAAGUACAACUCAGUUGCAGAGGUUGGGGGAUUUUAAGCUGCCUCACAUCUUCAACUAUCAACCCUACUUCACGAUCUUUAUGCCAUGAGGUGAGACAGGAUAAUCUUGCGUCUCUUGUUAAUGAAGGACCUGCAGAAUGGAUGGACAAAAGUCACAAGAAACGCUUCAUUCUUCGGCCAAGAAUUCAAGAUUGGGCUGAUCAUAACUUGAAUUUUGUGCAUAAAGUCUUGAUGGUGGACACAACUGUGCCACUCUUGUUGCUGCCUUCUCUGUAAAUAAGUGAAUAUGGUAAAACUUUGUUCGUUCGUUUAAGAACUUGGAUGAUCUAAGAUUGGUGUUUGAAAGAUUUUUAUUUGCUGAACUGAAUUUGUAACCUUGGAAUGUAAGGUAGAAGGUUGACAAAUCAUUUUGUCAAGAUAUGUGAAGCCCAUUUGCUUUA